rnacentral:rRNA from 1 species
GUAGGUGGCAAGCGUUGUCCGGAAUUAUUGGGCGUAAAGCGCGCGCAGGCGGUUCUUUAAGUCUGAUGUGAAAGCCCACGGCUCAACCGUGGAGGGUCAUUGGAAACUGGAGAACUUGAGUACAGAAGAGGAAAGCGGAAUUCCACGUGUAGCGGUGAAAUGCGUAGAGAUGUGGAGGAACACCAGUGGCGAAGGCGGCUUUCUGGUCUGUAACUGACGCUGAGGCGCGAAAGCGUGGGGGAGCAAACAGGAUUAGAUACCCUGGUAGUCCACGCCGUAAACGAUGAGUGCCAAGUGUUAGGGGGUUUCCGCCCCUUAGUGCUGCAGCUAACGCAUUAAGCACUCCGCCCUGGGAGUACGGCCGCAAGGCUG